rnacentral:rRNA from 1 species
GACGAACGCUGGCGGCGUGCUUAACACAUGCAAGUCGAACGGAAAGGCCUCUUUCGGGGGGUACUCGAGUGGCGAACGGGUGAGUAACACGUGAGUAACCUGCCCUUGACUUUGGGAUAACUUCAGGAAACUGGGGCUAAUACCGGAUAGGAGCUCCUGCUGCAUGGUGGGGGUUGGAAAGUUUCGGCGGUUGGGGAUGGACUCGCGGCUUAUCAGCUUGUUGGUGGGGUAGUGGCUUACCAAGGCUUUGACGGGUAGCCGGCCUGAGAGGGUGACCGGCCACAUUGGGACUGAGAUACGGCCCAGACUCCUACGGGAGGCAGCAGUGGGGAAGAUUGCACAAUGGGUGGAAGCCUGAUGCAGCAACGCCGGGUGCGGGAGGACGGCCUUCGGGUUGGAAACCGCUUUCGCUCAUGACGAAGCUUUGUGUGACGGUAGUGGGUAAAGAAGCACCGGCUAACUACGUG